AAAUUGAAGAGUUUGAUCAUGGCUCAGAUUGAACGCUGGCGGCAGGCCUAACACAUGCAAGUCGAACGGUAACAGGAAGCAGCUUGCUGCUUCGCUGACGAGUGGCGGACGGGUGAGUAAUGUCUGGGAAACUGCCUGAUGGAGGGGGAUAACUACUGGAAACGGUGGCUAAUACCGCAUAACGUCGCAAGACCAAAGAGGGGGACCUUCGGGCCUCUUGCCAUCAGAUGUGCCCAGAUGGGAUUAGCUAGUUGGUGAGGUAACGGCUCACCAAGGCGACGAUCCCUAGCUGGUCUGAGAGGAUGACCAGCCACACUGGAACUGAGACACGGUCCAGACUCCUACGGGAGGCAGCAGUGGGGAAUAUUGCACAAUGGGCGCAAGCCUGAUGCAGCCAUGCCGCGUGUAUGAAGAAGGCCUUCGGGUUGUAAAGUACUUUCAGCGGGGAGGAAGGUGUUGUGGUUAAUAACCGCAGCAAUUGACGUUACCCGCAGAAGAAGCACCGGCUAACUCCGUGCCAGCAGCCGCGGUAAUACGGAGGGUGCAAGCGUUAAUCGGAAUUACUGGGCGUAAAGCGCACGCAGGCGGUCUGUCAAGUCGGAUGUGAAAUCCCCGGGCUCAACCUGGGAACUGCAUUCGAAACUGGCAGGCUUGAGUCUUGUAGAGGGGGGUAGAAUUCCAGGUGUAGCGGUGAAAUGCGUAGAGAUCUGGAGGAAUACCGGUGGCGAAGGCGGCCCCCUGGACAAAGACUGACGCUCAGGUGCGAAAGCGUGGGGAGCAAACAGGAUUAGAUACCCUGGUAGUCCACGCCGUAAACGAUGUCUACUUGGAGGUUGUGCCCUUGAGGCGUGGCUUCCGGAGCUAACGCGUUAAGUAGACCGCCUGGGGAGUACGGCCGCAAGGUUAAAACUCAAAUGAAUUGACGGGGGCCCGCACAAGCGGUGGAGCAUGUGGUUUAAUUCGAUGCAACGCGAAGAACCUUACCUGGUCUUGACAUCCACGGAAGUUUCAGAGAUGGAAUGUGCCUUCGGGAACCGUGAGACAGGUGCUGCAUGGCUGUCGUCAGCUCGUGUUGUGAAAUGUUGGGUUAAGUCCCGCAACGAGCGCAACCCUUAUCCUUUGUUGCCAGCGAUUAGGUCGGGAACUCAAAGGAGACUGCCAGUGAUAAACUGGAGGAAGGUGGGGAUGACGUCAAGUCAUCAUGGCCCUUACGACCAGGGCUACACACGUGCUACAAUGGCGCAUACAAAGAGAAGCGACCUCGCGAGAGCAAGCGGACCUCAUAAAGUGCGUCGUAGUCCGGAUUGGAGUCUGCAACUCGACUCCAUGAAGUCGGAAUCGCUAGUAAUCGUGGAUCAGAAUGCCACGGUGAAUACGUUCCCGGGCCUUGUACACACCGCCCGUCACACCAUGGGAGUGGGUUGCAAAAGAAGUAGGUAGCUUAACCUUCGGGAGGGCGCUUACCACUUUGUGAUUCAUGACUGGGGUGAAGUCGUAACAAGGUAACCGUAGGGGAACCUGCGGUUGGAUCACCUCCUUA
rnacentral:rRNA from 1 species